rnacentral:rRNA from 1 species
UACGUAUGGGGCUAGCGUUGUUCGGAAUUAUUGGGCGUAAAGGGCACGCAGGUGGAUAAAAAAGUUGGUUGUAUAAUCUUUCGGCUCAACCGGAAGUCUGCUUCCAAAACUGUUUAUCUUGAGUACUAGAGGGGAGAGCGGAAUUCUCGGUGUAGCGGUGGAAUGCGCAGAUAUCGAGAAGAACAUCAGUGGCGAAGGCGGCUCUCUGGCUAGUAACUGACACUCAUGUGCGAAAGCGUGGGUAGCGAACAGG